GGACAAAAUACCUUGUUGCUGAGAACACAUUAAGACCUUGGGUCACCAAGACCUGAAGUACCAGGAGGGCAAACUUUCUUCGUGAACUUCCACACAGAGAAAGCAGCGAUGGGGCACAUAUAUACAUGCGAGGAGGCUUAGCCAAAGAAGCACGGACUAUAUAUUUUUUUUCAUGUCUUCGUGUUAUUUGCUGAUUCUUCGGUGAGAUAGCUCAUUUUUCUUCAGGUUUCCAGCAAAUUACAGGGCAAGAGAAGAAAGGCCAAGAGAGGAAAGAGAAGAAGGCUGAAAAUGAAAGGCAGAGGAAGAUGCUACUGAUGGACUCUUGUUGCCCUGUUCCACACUCCAUGGCCCCUACAGAAAAGCUGUUUGCGAUUCAACAGCACCAUCAGCAGGGGAGCUAGCCCAGCUGAACCCUCAUCACAGGUUGCUGCUGUUGCUGCUUCAGGAUCAGAAUACACGGCUGCCAUCCACAAAAGCAAGGGAGAGCUGUUCUGCCAGAGAGGGUGAUGGAAAGAACAUGAGCUUUAGAUUAGACAACCUAGCUUCAUAGUGUAGCUAAAUGCCCUCGGGUAAAUGAUCUAAGCUUUAGUGGUUUCAGCAAUCUCUAGCAAGGCCUAAGAAAUUAUCUGGCACACAGUCAUUGUUCAACGGUUGCUUGUUCCCUGUGGUUUUCUUUCCAGGUCAUUACAAGAACACCAUAACCCCUACCCUUAGCUUUCACCUGUGAUAUCUUCCUGAACUUUCUGCCUUAACUGCACCUGACCUCUCGCCUGCUCCGACAGAUAAAGGACAUCUGAUCCUCCCUUGAUACUUCUCUGAAAUAUAAUCUUCUAACCUUCCUGAAUUUCUGGGGGGAAGGGACCUUAGUGGUCAUCUAGUCUAUGGUGGAAGCUUAUAAAGAUAAUGAAAUAAAACGAAGGAAUCAUUUUGGGUCCCCAUUUCAGGAGGGAGGGUGGGAAACAGUCUUCAGGGUCAAGCCUACUUGCCUAAGGGUUCUUUCUCCUUUUGUUCUCUUGCUUAGAAGUCUUGUCUGACACCCCAUUCCUUUUCUUUUUAAAAAAUAUAUUUUUAUUCAUUUCAGAGAGGAAGGGAGAGGGAGAGAGAGAUAGAAACACCAGUGAUGAAUCAUUGAUUGGCUACCUCCUGCAUGCCAGCUGGGGAUUGAGCCCGCACCCGGGCAUGUGCCCUGACAGAGAUUUGAACCGUGACUUCCUGGUUCAUAGGUUGAUGCUCAACCACUAAGCAACACCAGCCGGGCUAUAUGUGAAUUUUUGAUGGCACAGCGGGCUGGUGCCCCCUAACCCCAUGUUGUUGAAAGGUCAACUGUAUAUAAAAACGAGUACGGAUACUUCAAAUUACUCUGGCAUCCCCUGAGACUCUGAAUAAUUCUUGCUAAGAAGCAUAAGUCAGACAUCCACACUUGUGCC